CGGUAUUUGCUCAUAUCUUCCAUCUGUACACCUCAUCUUUAAGUGACAGAAUCUGUGUGUAAUUUCAGCACUUGAUUUGCGACAAUCCAUUCUUCAAUUCAAGAGAUCAGACAGAUGGAAAACAGUGGCUGAAGUCUGUGAUAUCCUCAAGGAAGGCAUCUGUUGAAAAGAACUGUUGUAUUAGAUUGGUGUGAAGCUCCGUACAUUCCAGAGGUGCAGAGACAACUCACUGUGGCCUGAUUGCUUGUGACUAAGGAUAUGGAUCACUGGUUUUGACACCAGAGAAACAUUGCAGUUAAGGUGAAAGAAAGAGAAAAUCGGAAGUUGAAGAUCUAAGGAAUUUGAAUACUUCAAAAUUACACCAAGUAGAGACAUACUGAGUAAAGAAAGGGUUCAUUCUUGCAGGAAUAAGGUCUGGUGAAAGAGAGUUGAUAUAAAGCAAGGCCACUUCAUGUGACUGUCUCCUGGUACAUGACUGCUUCCUUUCCUGCUUCCUAGCCACUGAGCAGGACCAGUUGCUGGAAAAGGGAGACUCUCUGAGUAGCUGAGCUGACUGCAAACUGAGAACUUCCAAAUACACAGCUUUUGUGAAUCUCUGCUCCAAUCUGGGGUGGGUUUUUUGGUGUUGUGGGUACCUUUGACUGCCCAAUGUUUCUGAAAAACAAUGCUUCACUCACAUAUCUAAUAAGUAAACAAAAUAAACUCAUUGGUUUUCUAAUAAGAUAUAGGUAGAAGUAUCUCAGUACCAGCUCUGGUCAUAUCACCCUGGAAAAGUCACCCAGUCGAGCAUUUCUCAGAAAAUAUGGAAGACAUCGGGACUUUGCAAUUUCUCAAAGUACUUGCAUGGAAUAAAGUUUUACAUUUCUUCAUCAGUAGAAUUUACUGAGCUUUCAGUUUUUCAUACAAAAACAAAAAAAUUACAUCACAAAACUCUAGGACAGAUUAGGCUAUCAAAAUAGGUGUCCAAUAGAAGACUGGGACUGGAGCGGGGCUUGAUGGAAGCCUUGUGUUCUUCUAUCCUUCUUUCCUGAAAGGUGCUUGUGGAAAGAAGGGGCAACAGUUGGCCAGUGAAGCAAUGCAUUGAUAUUAACCAUUAUACACUGUGAUACAGUUUGUAAUAUAUACCUUAAAAGUGGAAAAACUGAUUUCAGAAAAAAAGGAAAACAGAUGUCCGUAGAAUUAUGUGAUGUUAAAAACAGAUGUCAUUCAGACAGAAAGGUUAGCAAUGGAAUUCAGAUUAACUAUAGCACAGGGAAGAGAGAAAACAGCACUCAGAGUGAGAUUGAGUUCAGAAAAACGUUACUGUAGAUGGAGGACCCGGGUUAACAGAGAAGAAACAAACAGGAUGACACUAUUCAACCUGGCUUUACUAUGAGGAUAUUGUAUCGAUAUGAAUGGAAAAAACGGAAAACACAGCAUGUAAGUGAACAACAUGAAAAAUCUCUACCUUCUGGUUCAGUGAAAUAUAGAUGUCCGAUUAGAUUCAAGGUCCACAGCAUGAAAAAAGCCAUAGUACAUCUAAUUAAAUCUGAGUGAUAGUACAUAACAUAAAUCAAUAUCCUGCAAAAUGUUGUUUUAAUUUUGACUACAAUGGCUUUCAAGUUACUAUGGCAAUAGUUUUUUCUGGGAAAUCAUAAUGGAUUUAUGAGACAAACUGAAAGGCAUUGGCUUGAAGGUUUACAGUGUGUGAGUGUAUGUGUGCAUGUGUGUGUAUAUGUGUGUGUGUGUGUGCAAAUGUGUGAGUGGUGGCUAAAAGGUACUAUUUGAGACGUAGCACAUUGCUUGAAAUUCUUUCUAACUUUUUUAUCUCACACCCGCUUGUAGGUUGUUUUGCAAGAAAAACUCAGGUAAUUGCCAUGUAACAAACACUGUUCAUCUCUUAUAUCUACACUUAAUAACUCGACAUUUUUGGGACAGAGUAAGAAACUAUAAUACAUGGCUAAGAAUGUACUGAUUAUAUCAGGGAAAAUAGCAUUUCCAUUUCAUCUGACCCUCCUUCUCACAUUUCUCCCCGAAGGUUACAUGACUAGAUUUUAUCAAACCACUUCUGAUUUGGUUUAUCUCCUGGUAUAAUGAAAAGGACUUACUUUUAGUACUGGGAUCAAACUUUACACAUACUAUACCAGUGUACUACCAUGAUCCACAACUCCAGUUUUAUCAUGAAUAUUAAAGCCUAAGACACAUUAACAAGACUUAGCAGAAAGGGAUGCUCCAAGGCAGUAAUGACAUCAAAUAGGAUCUUCCUGUUCCUACAGAAGGAAACUUUAAAUGUAAUUUCAAUAUAUUUACAGUAAGUUUUAAAUUAUACUCCACAAUGACAAUAUUACAAAGUGAUUAUUUGUAGAAAUAGGUUUGAUUAGAAGUAUGAAAUACUAAGACUGAACACACUCAAAGAAGCCUUCUAUAGAUGUUCAUAUGCAAAGUAAAGAGAAAAACGUCACCAAUUAACAGUGAAGAAAUAGAGACCAACAGACAAUAGUCCAAUGAAUUGAGUAUA